UACGUAGGGGGCAAGCGUUGUCCGGAAUCAUUGGGCGUAAAGCGCGUGUAGGCGGCCCGGUAAGUCCGCUGUGAAAGUCGGGGGCUCAACCCUCGAAUGCCGGUGGAUACUGUCGGGCUAGAGUGCGGGAGAGGCGAGUGGAAUUCCUGGUGUAGCGGUGAAAUGCGCAGAUAUCAGGAGGAACACCAAUUGCGAAGGCAGCUCGCUGGGACGCUACUGACGCUGAGACGCGAAAGCGUGGGGAGCAAACAGG
rnacentral:rRNA from 1 species